UACGGAGGGUCCAAGCGUUAUUCGGAAUUACUGGGCGUAAAGCGCACGUAGGUGGUUUACUAAGUCAGAUGUGAAAGCCCUGGACUCAAUCCAGGAAGUGCAUUUGAUACUGGUAGACUAGAGUGCAGGAGAGGAAAGCGGAAUUCCAGGUGUAGAGGUGAAAUUCGUAGAUAUCUGGAGGAACAACAGAGGCGAAGGCGGCUUUCUGGACUGCAACUGACACUGAGGUGCGAAAGCGUGGGGAGCAAACAGG
rnacentral:rRNA from 2 species